rnacentral:pre_miRNA from 1 species
AAAAAAACAAACUCUGGGUUCCCAUGUCCAACGUUUGACCGUCCGUCUUAUUUAAAAAAAUUAUAAAAAAAAUUAAAAAGACAAGUCAUGCAUAAAGUAUUAAUCAUGUUUUAUCAUCUAACAACAAUGAAAAUAUUAAUUAUAAAAAAUUUCAUAUAAGACGGACAGUCAAACGUUGGACACGGAAAACCAAGGUUUGCCUUUUU